GAGAGAGAGAGAGAGAGAGAGAGAGAGAGUUGAGCUAGAAUGCUAUCGAUAGCAAACGGGCUCUGUUGCCACCUAUUUGUUUUCGAUGAUAGAGCCUCCAAAUCGACGAUCGGCACUGUUGAACAUGAUCUAUACCACUUGAAGUGUUUAGAAAUCAAAUUUCAAAUAUUUUCGACAUGAUUUGCCUAAUGAUCAAAGGAUUUCAAAAUUUGUAAUUUUAAUAGUCGAUAUGAGCCGUUUUCUCGUUUAACGGCGUAAAGAUAUCCAAAUCAAUUGAAUUUUUAUUAGAAAAUUCCUGAAACUAUUUAAAACAAAAUCUAUACUCUUGAUCUUGACUAUAAGACUCCUAUCAUCAUUUUUUAAAGAAUAUUCAUUUUCAGCCGUUCAUUUUUGUGUCCACUCAAUGGAUAAGAAAACAAUAUCGAAAAAGUAUGAAAUUUGAUUUCUAGAUACUUCAAGUGGUAUAGAUCAUGUUCAACGGUACCGAUCGUCGAUUUGGAGGCUCCAUCAUAAAAAAUAAAUGGGUGGCAACGGAGCCCGUUUGCUACCGAUAGUAUUCCAGCUCAACUCUAUAUAUAUAUAUAGGCCAUGGCUACUAUACUAUUAUGAGUAUUGGAGCCCUCGUUCUCAUAAGUUGUUUUCGAUGAUGGAGCUUCCGAAUCGACGAUCCACUCCGUUAAAUAUGAUCUAGAGUAUUUGAAACUUCUAGAAAAUAAAUUUCGUAAAUUUCGAAAUCAUAAUAAAGUCCAUCAAGUGGGCAUAAAAUGAAUGGUCAAAAUCGAACGACGUCCUAAAAAAGCAUGAUCGGAUCCUUCAAUUCAAGAUCGGAGUUAUUGAUCUUUAUCUAUGUAGUGAAUAGAAUUUUC
rnacentral:lncRNA from 1 species